UACGUAGGGAGCGAGCGUUGUUCGGAAUUACUGGGCGUAAAGAGUGUGUAGGCGGUGCUCCCAGUCUGUUGUGAAAUCUCCCGGCUUAACUGGGAGGGUGCAGCGGAAACUAGAGUGCUAGAGGGUGGGAGAGGUAAGCGGAAUUCCUGGUGUAGCGGUGAAAUGCGUAGAUAUCAGGAGGAACACCUGUGGUGUAGACAGCUUACUGGACCACUUCUGACGCUGAGACACGAAAGCGUGGGUAGCAAACAGG
rnacentral:rRNA from 1 species